GCCAAAGUGGUGCAGUGGUUUGAGCGUUGGACUGUGACUCUGGAGACCAGGGUUUGAAUCUCUGCUUGGCCA